ACAUCCAGCGAACUUGGCAGAGAUGCCUUGUGCCUUCGGGAACGCUGAGACAGGUGCUGCAUGGCUGUCGUCAGCUCGUGUUGUGAAAUGUUGGGUUAAGUCCCGNAACGAGCGCAACCCUUAUCCUUUGUUGCCAGCGAUUCGGUCGGGAACUCAAAGGAGACUGCCGGUGAUAAACCGGAGGAAGGUGGGGAUGACGUCAAGUCAUCAUGGCCCUUACGAGUAGGGCUACACACGUGCUACAAUGGCGCAUACAAAGAGAAGCGACCUCGCGAGAGCAAGCGGACCUCAUAAAGUGCGUCGUAGUCCGGAUCGGAGUCUGCAACUCGACUCCGUGAAGUCGGAAUCGCUAGUAAUCGUGGAUCAGAAUGCCACGGUGAAUACGUUCCCGGGCCUUGUACACACCGCCCGUCACACCAUGGGAGUGGGUUGCAAAAGAAGUAGGUAGCUUAACCUUCGGGAGGGCGCUUACCACUUUGUGAUUCAUGACUGGGGUGAAGUCGUAACAAGGUAAGCGUAGCGAG
rnacentral:rRNA from 1 species